UACGAAGGAUGCAAGCGUUAUCCGGAUUUAUUGGGUUUAAAGGGUGCGUAGGCGGACUUAUAAGUCAGUGGUGAAAUCUCGUUGCUUAACAACGAACGUGCCAUUAAUACUGUAGGUCUUGAGUACAGAUGCCGUUGGCGGAAUGUGUCAUGUAGCGGUGAAAUGCAUAGAUAUGACACAGAACACCGAUUGCGAAGGCAGCUGACGAAACUGUAACUGACGCUGAGGCACGAAAGCGUGGGGAUCAAACAGG
rnacentral:rRNA from 1 species